rnacentral:lncRNA from 1 species
CAACCCUCCAGCCUCGGCCUCCCAAAGUGUUGGGAUCAUAGGCAUGAGACACCGUGCCUGGCGAAGAUAUUUUUACCGAAAAGGACAGAGGGUGUACUUGGAGGCACAUACCAAAGAAAUGCCAUGUGAGAACAAGCAAGAAGGUGGCCAUCUGUAAACCAGGAAGAGUGUCCUCACCAGAAAAUGAAGUGGCUUCAACUUUGAUCUCAGAAUUCCAGCCUCCAUAACUGUGAGAAAAUACAUUUCUGUUCUUUCAGCCAGUCUAUGGCAUUACAUUAUAGCAACCCAAGCAAACUAAGGCAUGCCCAGAAAUGAC